UACGAGGGGGGCGAGCGUUGUUCGGAAUUAUUGGGCGUAAAGGGUGCGUAGGCGGUUUGGUAAGUCUUGUGUGAAAUCUCUGGGCUCAACUCAGAGUCUGCACGAGAAACUGCCGGGCUUGAGUGUGGGAGAGGUGAGUGGAAUUCCUGGUGUAGCGGUGAAAUGCGUAGAUAUCUGGAGGAACACCGGUGGCGAAGGCGGCAUCCUGGACCAACACUGACGCUGAGGAGCGAAAGCCAGGGGAGCAAACGGG
rnacentral:rRNA from 1 species